rnacentral:rRNA from 1 species
CAGUCGCCGCGGGAAUACGAAGGUCCCGAGCGUUGUUCGGAAUCACUGGGCGUAAAGGGAGCGUAGGCGGCGUGGUAAGUCAGAUGUGAAAUCCCGGGGCUCAACCCCGGAACUGCAUCCGAUACUGCCGUGCUAGAGGAUUGGAGAGGUAGCUGGAAUUCUUGGUGUAGCAGUGAAAUGCGUGGAGAUCAAGAGGAACACUCGUGGCGAAAGCGAGCUACUGGACAAUAUCUGACGCUGAGGCUCGAAGGCCAGGGUAGCGAAAGGGAUUAGAUACCCCCGUAGUCCCUGUCUCUUAUAA